UGGACAUGUCAGUGACAAGCCUUAUUAGUAAUAGUGCUAUGUUGUGUGUGUCUUUGUACAUGUAACGGAGAGAGAGAGAGAGAGAAUCGGAAAGGGUUCAGUAGAGUUGAGGCAGAAGCCGUCUGCCAGGCCCAGGGCCGAUGAGAGACACCACGCCAUUGCAGUCCACUGUGCUGUUCCUCUUCCCUCCAGAGUGGGGUGCCAGCGGGUGGAUGCGUGAUGAGCCUUGGCUGUAGCCACUGUAGCUGUUGCGGCGCUGCUCCAGCAUGGCCUUGAAUUCGGCCUCUUUCUGCUCCGCCUCCUCAAUGGUGGCCUGGUUCUGCUCCUCAUAAGCCAUAGCCACCACAGCCAAGAUGAGAUUCACCAGGUAGAAGGAGCCGACGAAGAUGACAAGCACGAAGAAGAUCAUAGGGCAAAUAAACUGAGGGGGGAGCUGCUGGCCGGCACUUUUGCUGAUUCAUUCAGGUAUAAGAAAGAAAGUCCUGCUCUUUGCUUCCUCCGGGCAAUUAUGUGUCAAUUUGAGACAGCGGAGAAGAGACAGAGGAAUUCGGGGGAAAAAACACUGCUUUACCAGCAUGUAAAGAUUUUCCCAGAAGUCUUGGG